UUUAUUAUAUUGAUCCCAUAAAGUAAAAUUUCUAGAUCCAUUAGCUGACCAUUACAACCUACUUAAACUAUAAAAUAGCUAUUACUACUAUGCAUUACAAUGUAUGGCGCUCGUAAUGCAAAAGACCAUCGACCGCUUUUAUGAACAGGGAGACGCGAGGAUCCUCUAAGAAAUUUAUAAAAAGAAAAAGUCUAUUUCACUGCUCCUAUACUCAUAUUCUCCUUCCAUCACUC
rnacentral:lncRNA from 1 species